rnacentral:rRNA from 1 species
CGCCUGUAGCAAUACAGGUGGCGCACGGCGCACGGGUGCGUAACACGUGGGCAAUCUGCCCUCCGAUGGGGAAUAACCCCGCGAAAGCGGGGCUAAUUCCGCAUAACAUUCCUUGGACUCCGGUUCGAGGAUUCAAAGGCGUAAGUCGUCGGAGGAGGAGCCCGCGCACGAUUAGCUAGUUGGUAGGGUAACGGCCUACCAAGGCUUUGAUCGUUAGCUGGUCUGAGAGGAUGGCCAGCCACACUGGAACUGAGACACGGUCCAGACUCCUACGGGAGGCAGCAGUGGGGAAUCUUGCACAAUGGGCGAAAGCCUGAUGCAGCGACGCCGCGUGGGGGAUGAAGCUUCUCGGA